AUUGAACGCUGGCGGCAUGCUUUACACAUGCAAGUCGAACGGUAACAGGUUAAGCUGACGAGUGGCGAACGGGUGAGUAAUGCAUCGGAACGUGCCCGAUCGUGGGGGAUAACGCAGCGAAAGCUGCGCUAAUACCGCAUACGAUCUGAGGAUGAAAGCGGGGGACCGUAAGGCCUCGCGCGAUCGGAGCGGCCGGUGUCAGAUUAGGUAGUUGGUGGGGUAAAGGCUCACCAAGCCAACGAUCUGUAGCUGGUCUGAGAGGACGACCAGCCACACUGGGACUGAGACACGGCCCAGACUCCUACGGGAGGCAGCAGUGGGGAAUUUUGGACAAUGGGCGAAAGCCUGAUCCAGCAAUGCCGCGUGCAGGAAGAAGGCCUUCGGGUUGUAAACUGCUUUUGUACGGAGCGAAAAGGUUCUCUCUAAUACAGAGGGCUCAUGACGGUACCGUAAGAAUAAGCACCAGCUAACUACGUGCCAGCCGCCGCGGUAA
rnacentral:rRNA from 1 species